UAUAUAUAUAUAUAUAUAUACGACUGAAAUUGGUUAGAAGUCAGAAGCUAUUUAUUAUUACAAAACCAAGGUCUCGUGGUUAUAGUUGAUGAUUUGUUAAUGGUUGGCUUAGAUGAAGAGUUUUACUAUAUAUCAAAUGUUUGGGAAAGGACCGCAUAUUAAUGUUUUGGAAUUUAUUGGGCAGACUUCACUCAAUUGGGGAUAUAGGCUUAUAAAUAAAAUGGAUUUAUUGGUAAUGGGUUGUUGAUUUAAUUAGUAUCCUAAAUAGCAAGUAUAAUUUAUUUAAGUACCUAAACUAUCUCACGAUUAAUUUCCUUUGAAAUUGUAGUUUGGUUUAUUUUAAUUUGAAUUCAUGUUG
rnacentral:lncRNA from 1 species